rnacentral:rRNA from 1 species
AGCAGCCGCGGUAAUUCCAGCUCCAAUAGCGUAUAUUAAAGUUGUUGCAGUUAAAAAGCUCGUAGUUGAAUUUCGAGACCGGCUUACUGGUCGUGCUUUUGUGCGUACUGGUAUAAUCGGUUUCUCCUUUCUGACGAACUAUAAUGCCAUUAAUUUGGUGUUAUAGGGAAUCAGGACUGUUACUUUGAAAAAAUUAGAGUGUUUAAAGCAGGCUCACGCUUGAAUACAUUAGCAUGGAAUAACGGAAUAGGACGUUUGAUUCUAUUUUGUUGGUUUCUAGGAUCGACGUAAUGAUUAAUAGGGAUAGUUGGGGGCAUUAGUAUUCAAUUGUCAGAGGUGAAAUUCUUGGAUUUAUUGAAGACUAACUACUGCGAAAGCAUUUGCCAAGGAUGUUUUCAUUAAUCAAGAACGAAAGUUAGGGGAUCGAAGACGAUCAGAUACCGUCGUAGUCUUAACCAUAACUAUGCCGACUAGGGAUCGGAUGAUGUUUAAUUUUUUAAUGACUCAUUCGGCGCCUUUACGG